UUCAUUCCAUCGUUAACUGUUCAUAAUGUAACCAUUAAUUGCAGUUAAUUCUUCAUUCAGGCUUAUAGGUGGGAAGUGGUUUAAGAAGUUAAUAUUGACAGUCCAAAUAAACAGACAUAGUUUCAUAGUUUUAUUAUUUUUUUUGAAACAGCAAAGGAAAAGAAAACAAAAGAUGCCACUACCAGUCCUAGAUGACAGAAGUUAUGGCCCUGCAAUUCAGCAACACAACCAAAUUUCAGAGACAUAGCUAACCCACCCCACUAAAUCAACCAACAGAUAGAACAGCCUAGAUGAGGCGCUGCUAACAGCAGCUAAAACAGCCCCACAACAGCAAAAAUCCUUCUAGCAGCGCAGAACCAAAACAUGUAUCCUCCAACUUCUGAAGUGCCUUCCAG
rnacentral:lncRNA from 1 species